AUUGAACGCUGGCGGCAGGCCUAACACAUGCAAGUCGAGCGAGAAAGGUCUUCGGACUGAGUACAGCGGCGGACGGGUGAGUAAUGCGCAGGAAUCUACCUGGUAGUGGGGGAUAACUCGGGGAAACUCGAACUAAUACCGCAUACGCCUACGGGGAAAGGACGGGGACCGUUCGGGCCGUCGCGCUAUCAGAUGAGCCUGCGUAGGAUUAGCUUGUUGGUGAGGUAAAGGCUCACCAAGGCGACGAUCCUUAGCUGGUCUGAGAGGAGUGAUCAGCCACCACUGGAACUGAGACACGGUCCAGACUCCUACGGGAGGCAGCAGUGGGGAAUAUUGCGCAAUGGGCGAAAGCCUGACGCAGCCAUGCCGCGUGUGUGAAGAA
rnacentral:rRNA from 1 species